rnacentral:rRNA from 1 species
UGAGCAACCUGCCCUUGACACUGGAAUAACAGUUGGAAACAGCUGCUAAUACCGGAUAUGACCUUCGAUGACAUCAUCUGGAGGUGGAAAGCUCCGGCGGUCAAGGAUGGGCUCGCGGCCUAUCAGCUUGUUGGUGAGGUAACGGCUCACCAAGGCUUCGACGGGUAGCCGGCCUGAGAGGGCGACCGGCCACACGUGGGACUGGGAUACCGGCCCAGACCUCCGUAGGGAGG